UACGGAGGGGGCUAGCGUUGUUCGGAAUUACUGGGCGUAAAGCGCACGUAGGCGGCUUUGUAAGUUAGAGGUGAAAGCCCAGGGCUUAACCCUGGAAUUGCCUUUAAGACUGCAUCGCUAGAAUCGUGGAGAGGUGAGUGGAAUUCCGAGUGUAGAGGUGAAAUUCGUAGAUAUUCGGAAGAACACCAGUGGCGAAGGCGACUCACUGGACACGUAUUGACGCUGAGGAGCGAAAAGCAUGGGGAGCGAACAGG
rnacentral:rRNA from 1 species